rnacentral:rRNA from 1 species
AUUGAACGCUGGCGGCAGGCCUAACACAUGCAAGUCGAGCGGAUGAAGGGAGCUUGCUCCUGGAUUCAGCGGCGGACGGGUGAGUAAUGCCUAGGAAUCUGCCUGGUAGUGGGGGAUAACGUCCGGAAACGGGCGCUAAUACCGCAUACGUCCUGAGGGAGAAAGUGGGGGAUCUUCGGACCUCACGCUAUCAGAUGAGCCUAGGUCGGAUUAGCUAGUUGGUGGGGUAAAGGCCUACCAAGGCGACGAUCCGUAACUGGUCUGAGAGGAUGAUCAGUCACACUGGAACUGAGACACGGUCCAGACUCCUACGGGAGGCAGCAGUGGGGAAUAUUGGACAAUGGGCGAAAGCCUGAUCCAGCCAUGCCGCGUGUGUGAAGAAGGUCUUCGGAUUGUAAAGCACUUUAAGUUGGGAGGAAGGGCAGUAAGCUAAUACCUUGCUGUUGUGACGGUACCAACAGAAUAAGCACCGGCUAACUUCGUG